rnacentral:rRNA from 1 species
UACCAGCACCCCGAGUGGUCGGGACGUUUUAUUGGGCCUAAAGCAUCCGUAGCCGGUUCUACAAGUCUUCCGUUAAAUCCAAUUGCUUAACAGGUGGGCUGCGGAAGAUACUAUAGAGCUAGGAGGCGGGAGAGGCAAGCGGUACUCGAUGGGUAGGGGUAAAAUCCGUUGAUCCAUUGGAAGAACCACCAGUGGCGAAGGCGGCUUGCCAGAACG